rnacentral:rRNA from 1 species
AUGUCUGUUGGGAGGGGUGAUGGUACGCAUGGAACCUACUAUGGUUGUAGGAAUUCUCAUGGUGAUCAUGCCCACCCCUCCUAUGAAAAGAAGGGCCUUGGAGGUGACUUCAAUGUUUGGGCAAAGGAUCUGGUAGGCCCCUAUGUGUAUGGGUUGAAUAUAGCUGAUGACGAUGAUGCUGAUCUGACGAGCACGUCUACAUCUGAACCGAAUCAGCCAAAUGACGCCAUCAGGACAGCACGUAUUAAAGCAUUUACAGGAACAUUAGACGAGCUGGAGCAAUCUGUUGGGAUCUUUGGACAGAAGUUAUUUGAUGAAAUGGGAACUAAAACAGUUGAUCUGGAGAGGAGGCUAAGUUUGUCAUAG